rnacentral:rRNA from 1 species
GAUGAACGCUGGCGGCGUGCCUAAUACAUGCAAGUCGAGCGAACGGACGAGAAGCUUUCUUCUCUGAUGUUAGCGGCGGACGGGUGAGUAACACGUGGAUAACCUACCUAUAAGACUGGUAUAACUUCGGGAAACCGUAGCUAAUACCGGAUAAUAUUUUGAACCGCAUGGUUCAAAAGUUAAAUACGGUCUUGCUGUCACUUAUAGAUGGAUCCGCGCUGCAUUAGCUAGUUGGUAAGGUAACGGCUUACCAAGGCAACGAUGCAUAGCCGACCUGAGAGGGUGAUAGGCCACACUGGAACUUAGACACGGUCCAGACUCCUAGGGGAGGCAGGAGUAGGGAAUAUUCCGCAAUGGGCGAAAGCCUCACGGAGCAACGCCGCGUGAGUGAUGAAGGUCUUCGGAUCGUAAAACUCUGUUAUUAGGGAAGAACAUAUGUGUAAGUAACUGUGCACAUCUUGACGGUACCUAAUCAGAAAGCCACGGCUAACUACGUG